GAACGGCAGCACGGACUUCCGUCUGGUGCCGAGUGGCGAACGGGUGAGUAAUGCAUCGGAACGUACCCAGUCGUGGGGGAUAACGUAGCCAAAGUUACUCUAAUACCGCAUACGACCUGAGGGAGAAAGGGGGGGAUCGCAAGACCUUGCGCGAUUGGAGCGGCCGAUGUCAUAUUACCCCCUUGGUGGGGUAAAGGCCUACCAAGGCGACGAUCUGUAGCGGGUCUGAGAGGAUGAUCCGCCACACUGGAACUGAGACACGGUCCA
rnacentral:rRNA from 1 species